AUUGAACGCUGGCGGCAGGCUUAACACAUGCAAGUCGAACGAGUGGCGGACGGGUGAGUAAUGUCUGGGAACCUGCCCGAUGGCGGGGGAUAACUACUGGAAACGGUAGCUAAUACCGCAUACCAUCGGAUGUGCCCAUAUGGGAUUAGCUAGUAGGUGGGGUAACGGCUCACCUAGGCGACGAUCCCUAGCUGGUCUGAGAGGAUGACCAGCCACACGGGAACUGAGACACGGUCCAGACUCCUACGGGAGGAAGCAGUGGGGAAUAUUGCACAAUGGGGGAAAGCCUGAUGCAGCAAUGCCGCGUGUAUGAAGAAGGCCUUCGGGUUGUAAAGUACUUUCGGCGAGGAGGCGUUACUCGCAGAAGAAGCACCGGCUAACUACGUGCCAGCAGCCGCGGUAAUAC
rnacentral:rRNA from 1 species